rnacentral:rRNA from 1 species
GAUCAUGGCUCAGGAUGAACGCUAGCUACAGGCUUAACACAUGCAAGUCGAGGGGCAUCAGUUUGGUUUGCUUGCAAACCAAAGCUGGCGACCGGCGCACGGGUGAGUAACACGUAUCCAACCUGCCUCAUACUCGGGGAUAGCCUUUCGAAAGAAAGAUUAAUAUCCGAUAGCAUAUAUUUCCCGCAUGGGUUUUAGUUAUUAAAGAAAUUACGGUAUGAGAUGGGGAGUGCGUUCCAUUAGUUUG